GGAGUUUGGGCCGUGUCUCAGUCCCAAUGUGGCCGUUCACCCUCUCAGGCCGGCUACUGAUCGUCGCCUUGGUGGGCCGUUACCUCACCAACCAGCUAAUCAGACGCGGGUCCAUCUUAUCCCGAUAAAUCUUUUCACACUGUAUCAUGCGAUACUGUGCGCUUAUGCGGUAUUAGCAGUAAUUUCUCACUGUUAUCCCCCUGGAUAAGGCAGGUUACCCACGCGUUACUCACCCGUCCGCCACUAAGUUUAGUCAAAAGCAAGCUUUCAUCUAAACUCCGUUCGACUUGCAUGUGUUAAGCACGCCGCCAGCGUUCAUC
rnacentral:rRNA from 1 species